UACGUAGGGUGCAAGCGUUUAUCCGGAAUUAUUGGGCGUAAAGAGCUCGUAGGCGGUUUGUCGCGUCUGCUGUGAAAACUGGAGGCUCAACCUCCAGCCUGCAGUGGGUACGGGCAGACUGAGAGGUGCGGUAGGGGAGAUUGGAAUUCCUGGUGUAGCGGUGGAAUGCGCAGAUAUCAGGAGGAACACCAAUGGCGAAGGCAGAUCUCCUGGGCCGUAACUGACGCUGAGGAGCGAAAGCAUGGGGAGCGAACAGG
rnacentral:rRNA from 1 species